CGGUGAGAGUGGCAGACGGGUGAGUAACGCGUGGGAACGUACCUUUCAGUUCGGAAUAUUCUCGGGAAACUGGGAGCAAUACCGGAUACGCCCUUAGGGGGAAAGAUUUAUCGCUGAAAGAUCGGCCCGCGUUGGAUUAGGUAGUUGGUGGGGUAAAGGCCUACCAAGCCUACGAUCUAUAGCUGGUCUGAGAGGAUGAUCAGCCACACUGGGACUGAGACACGGCCCAGACUCC
rnacentral:rRNA from 1 species